AACUCCUACGGGAGGCAGCAGCUAAAUUUCCGCAAUGGGCGAAAGCCUGACGGACGACGCCGCGUGGACAAGAAGCCGGAAGGUUGUAAAGUCCUUUUCUCGAUGAAGAAUAAGCAGCGAGGGAAUGCGCUGUCGAUGACAUUAGUUGAGGAAUAAGCCCCGGCUAAUUUACGGUGCCCAGCCAAGCCGCGGGUAACACGUUAAAGGGGCGCCGAGCGUUGUUCGGAAUUAUUGGGCGUAAAGGGCGCGUAGGCGGCUUGGCAAGCCUGGUGUGAAAGCCACCAGCUUAACUGUGGGAGUGCGCUGGGAACUGCCUAGCUAGAGUUUCGGAGGGGAACCUGGAAUUCCUGGUGUAGGGGUGAAAUCUGUAGAUAUCAGGAAGAACAUCUGUGGCGAAGGCGAGCUUCUGGCCAGAAACUGACGCUGAGGCGCGAAAGCGUGGGGAGCGAACAGGAUUAGAUACCCUGGUAGUCCACGCUGUAAACGAUGUGCACUAGGUGUUGGCUGUGAUAACGGUCAGUGCCGAAGCAAACGCGAUAAGUGCACCGCCUGGGGAGUAUGCUCGCAAGGGUGAAACUCAAAGGAAUUGACGGGGGCCCGCACAAGCGGUGGAGCAUGUGGUUUAAUUCGAUGAUACGCGAGGAACCUUACCAGGGUUUGACAUAUGGCGGACUGCGGCAGAGAUGUCGCUUCCCUUCGGGGCCGUCAUACAGGUGCUGCAUGGCUGUCGUCAGCUCGUGCUGUGAGGUGUUGGGUUAAGUCCCGCAACGAGCGCAACCCCUGCUGUCUGUUACCAGCACGUAAUGGUGGGGACUCAGGCGGUACUGCCGGUGACAAACCGGAGGAAGGUGGGGACGACGUCAAGUCGUCAUGGCCCUUAUGUCCUGGGCUACACACGUGCUACAAUGGCCGGUACAGAGUGCAGCGAAACCGCGAGGUGGAGCAAAUCACAGAAAGCCGGUCUCAGUACGGAUUGGAGUCUGAAACCCGACUUCAUGAAGCUGGAAUCGCUAGUAAUCGCGCAUCAGCAUGGCGCGGUGAAUACGUUCCCGGGCCUUGUACACACCGCCCGUCACACCACCCGAGUUGGGGGUACCCGAAGUCGCUUGUCUAACCGGAAACGGGGGACGGUGCCGAAG
rnacentral:rRNA from 1 species